CACCGUCGACUGGAUAUAAAUUUACCUGAAGAUAAAUUCUUGUCGUCGUCUUUCAAAUGGGGAGUCUUGUGAAAUUUAUAUUCGUCGCAGCUGCGUUCUUCCUCCUGUUAUUGCACCCGUCUAUCUGCUCUCCGUACUCAGAGCUUGGAGAAACGUGUCCCCCUUUCGAUCAACAUCAGGACUCAUCCGAGGCGCGAUGCGAACCAGGCACUGCCUGCAAGAAAUUGGGUCGAAGCUACAUGUGCGUGGUGGAAGGUGAUUUGAACGAGUAACGAGGGUCGACACUGUGCGUCGUUAUUAAGAUUUAGAUAAUAUAUAUGCGUUAUCACCGUAAGGUCAAGAGGCAGUUACGAAAUUUUCGACACCGUGGAAGGCGAUAAGUUUGAAAUCGAAAGGAAGAAUUUGGACUCUACUUCUGUUGGUUUUCAUCCAGCUACGCUGUUAUUUAUUAUGUAUUUAUUGUUUGAGAUUCUGAUUCAUUUAAUCACCUCAUUAAUUUAUAGCGCUCACCAUUUUAGUCGUAAGUUCAUUUAUUUCAAGAGUGGAUUCAUAAUAUACAAAUAAAGCACACC
rnacentral:lncRNA from 1 species